GCCCUCUUGGUGGAAUGGAUAUCACGCCACUCUCCUAAAGUGGAAUUACAAGUUCGAUUCUUGUAGAGGGCG
rnacentral:tRNA from 2 species